rnacentral:misc_RNA from 1 species
GUGAAUCAUCGAAUUUUUGAACGCAAAUUGCACUCUCUUCGGAGAGUAUGCCUGUUUGAGGGUCAGCCUAAAAAAAAAAUCGACAUAGUCGCUGUUUCGCGGUUACAUUCGUCUGAAAUUGUUUCAUCUUAAACCUUUUGUUUUUAAUCUGCUUAAUUUUUUCUUUUCGUUUCCACGACCUUUUCUCAUAUUUCCUUCUUUUUCUUUUAAUUUAU